rnacentral:rRNA from 1 species
CCUACGGGGUGCAGCAGUGGGGAAUAUUGCACAAUGGGGGAAACCCUGAUGCAGCGACGCCGCGUGAGUGAAGAAGUAUUUCGGUAUGUAAAGCUCUAUCAGCAGGGAAGAAGAAAGACGGUACCUGACUAAUAAGCCCCGGCUAACUACGUGCCAGCAGCCGCGGUAAUACGUAGGGGGCAAGCGUUAUCCGGAUGUACUGGGUGUAAAGUGAGCGUAGACGGCGGUGCAAGUCUGAAGUGAAAGCCCAGGGCUCAACCCGGGGAAUGCGUUGGAAACUGGGGAGCUAGAGUGUUGGAGAGGUAAGUAGAAUUCCAAGUGUAGCGGUGAAAUGUGUAGAGAUGAGGAGGAACACCAGUGGCGAAGGCGGCUUACUGGACAAUAACUGACGUUGAGGCGCGAAAGCGUGGGGAGCAAACAGGAUUAGAUACCCGGGUAGUC